rnacentral:rRNA from 1 species
GACGAACGCUGGCGGCGUGCUUAACACAUGCAAGUCGAACGGAAAGGCCCUGCUUUUGUGGGGUGCUCGAGUGGCGAACGGGUGAGUAACACGUGAGUAACCUGCCCUUGACUUUGGGAUAACUUCAGGAAACUGGGGCUAAUACCGGAUAGGAGCUCCUGCUGCAUGGGGGGGGUUGGAAAGUUUCGGCGGUUGGGGAUGGACUCGCGGCUUAUCAGCUUGUUGGUGGGGUAGUGGCUUACCAAGGCUUUGACGGGUAGCCGGCCUGAGAGGGUUACCGGCCACAUUGGGACUGAGAUACGGCCCAGAAUCGUACGGGAGGCAGCAGUGGGGAAUAUUGCGGAAUGGGCGGAAGCCUGAUGCAGCAACGCCGCGUGCGGGAUGACGGCCUUCGGGUUGUGAACAGCUUUCGCCUGUGACGAAGCGUGAGUGACGGUAAUGGGUAAAGAAGCACCGGCUAACUACGUG